rnacentral:rRNA from 1 species
AUUAGCUAGUUGGUGGAGUAAUAGCCUACCAAGGCAAUGAUCUAUAGCUGAUCUGAGAGGAUGAUCAGCCACACUGGAACUGAGAUACGGUCCAGACUUCUACGGGAGGCAGCAGUGGGGAAUAUUGGACAAUGGGCGAAAGCCUGAUCCAGCCAUGUCGCAUGAGUGAAGAAGGCCUUUGGGUUGUAAAGCUCUUUUAGUGAGGAAGAUAAUGACGGUACUCACAGAAGAAGUCCUGGCUAACUCCGUGCCAGCAGCCGCGGUAAUACGGAGAGGGCUAGCGUUAUUCGGAAUUAUUGGGCGUAAAGGGCGCGUAGGCUGAUUAAUAAGUUAAAAGUGAAAUCCCGAGGCUUAACCUUGGAAUUGCUUUUAAAACUAUUAAUCUAGAGAUUGAAAGAGGAUAGAGGAAUUCCUGAUGUAGAGGUAAAAUUCGUAAAUAUUAGGAGGAACACCAGUGGCGAAGGCGUCUAUCUGGUUCAAAUCUGACGCUGAGGCGCGAAGGCGUGGGGAGCAAACAGGAUUAGAUACCCUGGUAGUCCACGCUGUAAACGAUGAAUGUUAAAUAUGGGAAGUUUACUUUCUGUAUUACA